GUUGUUAUCUAGUUAAGCUGUUCUCUCUUCAAUACUAAUGCUCCACCACUGACAAGUCUCCUCAGCUGACUGAUCUGUUACUCUGUGAGCAUUUGACAGAACACUAAGUGAUACAGAAAAAAUUUAGGUGAUUUCCUAAUUUAAGCAUGCCCUAAAUUGCAGUUACAUCAUACUGAUGUGAAGAGCCUGCAGUGAGCCCUGUGAGCAUCUCUGCCUUCAGAAUGAAACAUGCUUCACAUGAAAGUUUUAUACUGUGCAGCUCAGAAAGAGACUUCUGCAACAACUAUGGGAAGGGCAGAUCUCAGUCAUAAAUAAUGUAUAAUGUAUAAUGAUACAUGGGUCAUUGUUUCUCUGACCAUCAGUCAAAACACAAGAAGAACACAAGAAUGCUUUAACAGAAUAAUUUUCGUCUAGGAAGGGAGAAGAAAGAGCACAUUAAUGACCUUUAUGUUUUCAAAGAGCAACAAACACCCAGAACGACUUAGAUAUACCUUGAAUUUCCUGUUGUUGGUAAUCCUUAUUUUCCUCUUUGACUUUCAUGAUGACUGACUGAAACAAUCCAGAGUUGACCUACUAUUUUUAUGCUACAGACCAAACAUGCAGAAUACCUGAAAACAGGUGAAUUUUCUGCGAACGGUGUAAUUAACGGAAUUGCUUAUUCAAUUUAUUUGAUUGUACAUUAAAUAUAGUCACAGUUACUAUCAAGGGGU
rnacentral:lncRNA from 1 species